rnacentral:rRNA from 1 species
CAGCAGCCGCGGUAAUACGAAGGGGGCUAGCGUUGUUCGGAAUCACUGGGCGUAAAGAGCACGUAGGCGGAUCUUUAAGUCAGAGGUGAAAUCCCGAGGCUCAACCUCGGAACUGCCUUUGAUACUGGGGAUCUCGAGUCCGGGAGAGGUGAGUGGAACUGCGAGUGUAGAGGUGAAAUUCGUAGAUAUUCGCAAGAACACCAGUGGCGAAGGCGGCUCACUGGCCCGGAACUGACGCUGAGGUGCGAAAGCGUGGGGAGCAAACAGGAUUAGAUACCCCGGUAGUCCCUGUCUCUUAUAC